rnacentral:sRNA from 1 species
CAAAUAUUUAUAAAAUUAGAAACUUCAAAAAAGAUUAAUAUUGACCCAAACUUCAUCAUUGAAUUUUGAGUGUUAUAUCUAAGAUUUCUCUCGCAGUAUAUCGUCCCGUAUUAAUAUCUUUUAUAUUGUUUAAAUUUGUUGUAAAAUUUAAUUUAUAAUU